GAUGAACGCUAGCGGCAGGCUUAACACAUGCAAGUCGAGGGGUAUAGGUUUUCGGACCUAGAGACCGGCGCACGGGUGCGUAACGCGUAUGCAAUCUACCUUUCACAGAGGGAUAGCCCAGAGAAAUUUGGAUUAAUACCUCAUAGUAUAGCAGUUUCGCAUGAAACCACUAUUAAAGUUCCAACGGUGAAAGAUGAGCAUGCGUCCCAUUAGCUAGAUGGUAAGGUAACGGCUUACCAUGGCUACGAUGGGUAGGGGUCCUGAGAGGGAGACCCCCCACACUGGUACUGAGACACGGACCAGACUCCUACGGGAGGCAGCAGGGAGGAAUAUUGGUCAAUGGACGCAAGUCUGAACCAGCCAUGCCGCGUGCAGGAUGACGGUCCUAUGGAUUGUAAACUGCUUUUGUACGAGAAGAAACAACAUUACGUGUAAUGUCUUGACGGUAUCGUAAGAAUAAGGAUCGGCUAACUCCGUGCCGGCAGCCGCCGCGGUAA
rnacentral:rRNA from 1 species